rnacentral:rRNA from 1 species
GGGACCCGCACAAGCAGCGGAGCGUGUGGUUUAAUUCGAUGCUACACGAAGAACCUUACCAGGGUUUGACAUGCAAGUGGUAGGAAACUGAAAGGGACCGACCUUCGGGAGCUUGCACAGGUGCUGCAUGGCUGUCGUCAGCUCGUGUCGUGAGAUGUUCGGUUAAGUCCGCUAACGAGCGCAACCCUCACUGUGUGUUAUACGUGUCACACGGGACUGCCGGUUUUAAGCCGGAGGAAGGUGGGGAUGACGUCAAGUCAGCAUGGCCUUUAUAUCCUGGGCUACACACACGCUACAAUGGUCGGUACAAUAGGUUGCCAAGCCGCGAGGCGGAGCCAAUCCAUAAAGCCGGCCUCAGUUCAGAUUGUAGGCUGCAACUCGCCUGCAUGAAGAUGGAGUUGCUAGUAACCGCAGGUCAGCAAUACUGCGGUGAAUACGUUCCCGGGCCUU